GCGGGAAUAGCUCAGUUGGUAGAGCAUCACGUUGCCAACGUGAAUGUCGCGAGUUCGAGUCUCGUUUCCCGCUCCA
rnacentral:tRNA from 1 species